GUUUUAAUAAUUUAAAUAAAAAUAUUGGUCUUGUAAACCAAAAAUGAAUUAUAUUCUUAAAACU
rnacentral:tRNA from 1 species